UACGGAGGGUGCAAGCGUUGUUCGGAAUCACUGGCGUAAAGCGCGUGUAGGCGGCCUCCUCAGUCUGGUGUGAAAGCCCGGGGCUCAACCCCGGAAGUGCAUUGGAUACUGGGAGGCUGGAGUACCGGAGAGGAGGGUGGAAUUCCUGGUGUAGCGGUGAAAUGCGUAGAUAUCAGGAGGAACACCGGUGGCGAAGGCGGCCCUCUGGACGGAUACUGACGCUGGAGACGCGACAGCGUGGGGAGCAAACAGG
rnacentral:rRNA from 1 species